CUUGACGAUCAAGCCCC
rnacentral:rRNA from 1 species